rnacentral:rRNA from 1 species
UACAGAGGUCCCAAGCGUUGUUCGGAUUCACUGGGCGUAAAGGGUGCGUAGGCGGUCGGGUAAGUCUGAUGUGAAAUCUCACAGCUUAACUGUGAAACUGCAUUGGAUACUAUUCGGCUUGAGAGUUGGGGGGGGGGACUGGAAUUCUUGGUGUAGCAGUGAAAUGCGUAGAUAUCAAGAGGAACACCAGUGGCGAAGGCGAGUCCCUGGACAACUUCUGACGCUGAGGCACGAAAGCUAGGGGAGCAAACAGG